CACACUAUCAUUAACUGAAUCCAUAGGUUAAUGAGGCGAACCGGGGGAACUGAAACAUCUAAGUACCCCGAGGAAAAGAAAUCAACCGAGAUUCCCCCAGUAGCGGCGAGCGAACGGGGAGCAGCCCAGAGCCUGAAUCAGUGUGUGUGUUAGUGGAAGCGUCUGGAAAGGCGCGCGAUACAGGGUGACAGCCCCGUACACAAAAAUGCACAUACUGUGAGCUCGAUGAGUAGGGCGGGACACGUGGUAUCCUGUCUGAAUAUGGGGGGACCAUCCUCCAAGGCUAAAUACUCCUGACUGACCGAUAGUGAACCAGUACCGUGAGGGAAAGGCGAAAAGAACCCCGGCGAGGGGAGUGAAAAAGAACCUGAAACCGUGUACGUACAAGCAGUGGGAGCCUCUUUAUGGGGUGACUGCGUACCUUUUGUAUAAUGGGUCAGCGACUUAUAUUCUGUAGCAAGGUUAACCGAAUAGGGGAGCCGAAGGGAAACCGAGUCUUAACUGGGCGUUAAGUUGCAGGGUAUAGACCCGAAACCCGGUGAUCUAGCCAUGGGCAGGUUGAAGGUUGGGUAACACUAACUGGAGGACCGAACCGACUAAUGUUGAAAAAUUAGCGGAUGACUUGUGGCUGGGGGUGAAAGGCCAAUCAAACCGGGAGAUAGCUGGUUCUCCCCGAAAGCUAUUUAGGUAGCGCCUCGUGAAUUCAUCUCCGGGGGUAGAGCACUGUUUCGGCAAGGGGGUCAUCCCGACUUACCAACCCGAUGCAAACUGCGAAUACCGGAGAAUGUUAUCACGGGAGACACACGGCGGGUGCUAACGUCCGUCGUGAAGAGGGAAACAACCCAGACCGCCAGCUAAGGUCCCAAAGUCAUGGUUAAGUGGGAAACGAUGUGGGAAGGCCCAGACAGCCAGGAUGUUGGCUUAGAAGCAGCCAUCAUUUAAAGAAAGCGUAAUAGCUCACUGGUCGAGUCGGCCUGCGCGGAAGAUGUAACGGGGCUAAACCAUGCACCGAAGCUGCGGCAGCGACACUAUGUGUUGUUGGGUAGGGGAGCGUUCUGUAAGCCUGUGAAGGUGUGCUGUGAGGUAUGCUGGAGGUAUCAGAAGUGCGAAUGCUGACAUAAGUAACGAUAAAGCGGGUGAAAAGCCCGCUCGCCGGAAGACCAAGGGUUCCUGUCCAACGUUAAUCGGGGCAGGGUGAGUCGACCCCUAAGGCGAGGCCGAAAGGCGUAGUCGAUGGGAAACAGGUUAAUAUUCCUGUACUUGGUGUUACUGCGAAGGGGGGACGGAGAAGGCUAUGUUGGCCGGGCGACGGUUGUCCCGGUUUAAGCGUGUAGGCUGGUUUUCCAGGCAAAUCCGGAAAAUCAAGGCUGAGGCGUGAUGACGAGGCACUACGGUGCUGAAGCAACAAAUGCCCUGCUUCCAGGAAAAGCCUCUAAGCAUCAGGUAACAUCAAAUCGUACCCCAAACCGACACAGGUGGUCAGGUAGAGAAUACCAAGGCGCUUGAGAGAACUCGGGUGAAGGAACUAGGCAAAAUGGUGCCGUAACUUCGGGAGAAGGCACGCUGAUAUGUAGGUGAAGUCCCUUGCGGAUGGAGCUGAAAUCAGUCGAAGAUACCAGCUGGCUGCAACUGUUUAUUAAAAACACAGCACUGUGCAAACACGAAAGUGGACGUAUACGGUGUGACGCCUGCCCGGUGCCGGAAGGUUAAUUGAUGGGGUUAGCGGUAACGCGAAGCUCUUGAUCGAAGCCCCGGUAAACGGCGGCCGUAACUAUAACGGUCCUAAGGUAGCGAAAUUCCUUGUCGGGUAAGUUCCGACCUGCACGAAUGGCGUAAUGAUGGCCAGGCUGUCUCCACCCGAGACUCAGUGAAAUUGAACUCGCUGUGAAGAUGCAGUGUACCCGCGGCAAGACGGAAAGACCCCGUGAACCUUUACUAUAGCUUGACACUGAACAUUGAGCCUUGAUGUGUAGGAUAGGUGGGAGGCUUUGAAGUGUGGACGCCAGUCUGCAUGGAGCCGACCUUGAAAUACCACCCUUUAAUGUUUGAUGUUCUAACGUUGGCCCCUGAUCGGGGUUGCGGACAGUGUCUGGUGGGUAGUUUGACUGGGGCGGUCUCCUCCUAAAGAGUAACGGAGGAGCACGAAGGUUGGCUAAUCCUGGUCGGACAUCAGGAGGUUAGUGCAAUGGCAUAAGCCAGCUUGACUGCGAGCGUGACGGCGCGAGCAGGUGCGAAAGCAGGUCAUAGUGAUCCGGUGGUUCUGAAUGGAAGGGCCAUCGCUCAACGGAUAAAAGGUACUCCGGGGAUAACAGGCUGAUACCGCCCAAGAGUUCAUAUCGACGGCGGUGUUUGGCACCUCGAUGUCGGCUCAUCACAUCCUGGGGCUGAAGUAGGUCCCAAGGGUAUGGCUGUUCGCCAUUUAAAGUGGUACGCGAGCUGGGUUUAGAACGUCGUGAGACAGUUCGGUCCCUAUCUGCCGUGGGCGCUGGAGAACUGAGGGGGGCUGCUCCUAGUACGAGAGGACCGGAGUGGACGCAUCACUGGUGUUCGGGUUGUCAUGCCAAUGGCACUGCCCGGUAGCUAAAUGCGGAAGAGAUAAGUGCUGAAAGCAUCUAAGCACGAAACUUGCCCCGAGAUGAGUUCUCCCUGACUCCUUGAGAGUCCUGAAGGAACGUUGAAGACGACGACGUUGAUAGGCCGGGUGUGUAAGCGCAGCGAUGCGUUGAGCUAACCGGUACUAAUGAACCGUGAGGCUUAACCUUACAACGCCGAAG
rnacentral:rRNA from 1 species